rnacentral:rRNA from 1 species
AUUGAACGCUGGCGGCAUGCUUUACACAUGCAAGUCGAACGGUAACAGGGUGCUUGCACCGCUGACGAGUGGCGAACGGGUGAGUAAUGCGUCGGAACGUGCCGAGUAGUGGGGGGUAACGCAGCGAAAGUUGUGCUAAUACCGCAUACGUACUGAGGUAGAAAGUGGGGGACCUUCGGGCCUCACGCUAUUCGAGCGGCCGACGUCUGAUUAGCUAGUAGGUGAGGUAAAGGCUCACCUAGGCGACGAUCAGUAGCGGGUCGGAGAGGAUGAUCCGCCACACUGGGACUGAGACACGGCCCAGACUCCUACGGGAGGCAGCAGUGGGGAAUUUUGGACAAUGAGCGAAAGCCUGAUCCAGCCAUGCCGCGUGUCUGAAGAAGGCCUUCGGGUUGUAAAGGACUUUUGUCAGGGAGGAAAUCCCUAGUGCUAAUAACACUGGGGGAUGACAGUACCUGAAGAAUAAGCACCGGCUAACUACGUGCCAGCCGCCGCCGUAA